UGCCCUGACAGGUGGAUGGAAUAGCUAUAUAUAUAUAUAUAUAUAUAUAUAUAUAUAUAUAUAUAUUCUCUUCCUGCCUGGGCA